rnacentral:miRNA from 1 species
GGACAGUAACGUCAUGGUCACCAU